rnacentral:rRNA from 1 species
GACGAACGCUGGCGGCGUGCUUAACACAUGCAAGUCGAGCGAGGCCCUCCUUCGGGAGGUGUCCUAGCGGCGAACGGGUGAGUAACACGUGGGCAACCUGCCCCCGGCUCUGGGAUAACUCCAAGAAAUUGGGGCUAAUACCGGAUAUGACCGCUGACCGCAUGGCCUGGUGUGGAAAGAUUUAUCGGCUGGGGAUGGGCCCGCGGCCUAUCAGCUUGUUGGUGGGGUAGUGGCCUACCAAGGCGACGACGGGUAGCCGGCCUGAGAGGGCGACCGGCCACAGUGGGAGUGAGACACGGCCCAGACGCCUACGGGAGGCAGCAGUGGGGAAUAUUGCGCAAUGGGCGGAAGCCUGACGCAGCGACGCCGCGUGGGGGAUGACGGCCUUCGGGUUGUAAACCUCUUUCAGCAGGGACGAAGCGCAAGUGACGGUACCUGCAGAAGAAGCACCGGCCAACUACGUGCCAGCCGCCGCCGUAAUAC